rnacentral:rRNA from 1 species
CGGGUAACCUGCCCAAGAGAUCGGGAUAACACCUGGAAACAGAUGCUAAUACCGGAUAACAACAGAUGAUGCCUAUCAACUGUUUAAAAGAUGGUUCUGCUAUCACUCUUGGAUGGACCUGCGGUGCAUUAGCUAGUUGGUAGGGUAACGGCCUACCAAGGCGAUGAUGCAUAGCCGAGUUGAGAGACUGAUCGGCCACAUUGGGACUGAGACACGGCCCAAACUCCUACGGGAGGCAGCAGC